ACGAUCCCUUCAUCUCUCUGUUCUCUCUCCCCCGUAUAUUCCUCUCUCUCUCCCUCACACGUAUCUUCCUGUCCCUCUCCUCUCUCUCCCUCUCUCUCUCUAAACCCUAAAAACUAUCUUGCCGACCCUUCCUUUCUCAGAAGAAAUUUCAACGCAUCACAUCUCUCCAUUCUCUCUAUUCCCACAGGGAAAACAAAAUCAUCUUCUCUACACAAACUGAAGCAAGGGAGUUUUCGGCAUGGAUCCAGCUGAUCAAUGAUCGUAAUGCAUCAAAUUUUGGCUCCUCAUCUGGAUCUAAAAAACAUCGGGAUCAGCAUCUAAAACAGUGGCGACAACACAAAACAAACCCGGAAAGUACGCUGACACAUAUUGAUAUAUCAGUUCACAUUAUUGAAUAUCCGCAACACUGUAUGGAAUAUUUUUCAUAGGUUCAGAACCUACAAGUUUUCCACCAACAACAAAUGCAGAUUUGCAUUGAACAGACUCCAUGUACGUGUUACAAGACUGAACGGCCCAAAUCCUUUCUUCGAAUUGACACAUGUGGAGAAAAAGCAUGCACUUCCCUUGAGCAGGGAGAAGAUGAGAAUCAGACCAACCAUAUAGGUUGGUCUUCUCUCGAAUCUGCCUUCAGGACAGUGGGUUUAGGAAAGUUGAUGCGAGCGGCGUCUAUACAGCGGAUGCUGGAUGCACACUUAGCGGAGAUGUCGAUGCAAUGGCACGGGACGAGGGAUUCAUAUGCGGUGGCAGCUAAAGGCUGCGGCAGGGUAGUCCGGCAUGGGCUCGCGGAAGACUGGAAAUCUGGAAGAGGAUGGGCGAGGAGGACAUAGAGAGGCAAACCGGACACAGCGAGGGUCAGAUACAUGGCACGUCUACACGUUUUUUAGAGGUUGCUUCUACAUUUUUUGUUAUUGGACUACGAACAACAGAACGUAUACAGUUUGCAUGUCUCCAUAUCUAGGAAUUUAGCCACAAACAACAUUUUAGAUGGCAUCUACUGUUUUUUUAUUGAAUAGAUUGGGAGUUUAAAAUAGCUUGAGAUAUAAGUUAUUUAAAUUAUAUUUAAGAUUUUCAUGGA